rnacentral:rRNA from 1 species
GCCAACGGCCAUACUGUACCACGUUGAGAACACUGCUUCUCGUCCGAUCAGCGAAGUUAAGCAACGUUGGGUUUGGUUAGUACUUGGAUGGGUGACCGCCUGGGAACACCAAAUGCUGUUGGCA